GCCAUGGUGCAAACAUAUACUUCAAAUCUUUUCCGACCUUUCGCCGUCAAAUAAGUUCUCAACUCCUCCCACGCAGGACGUAAUCUAACAAGCACACUGGUAUCCCGAUUCUCGGGAUUAAUCCGUGUAAGGACAACAUUCUUAUCCCCCAACCUUAUGACUGGCCGAACUACACCCUCCUGCCCUUCAGAUAAUGGUAGCACCUCCUCUUUCUGAGCUCUAUAUACAAUCCCACAGUCAACAACAGAAUCACUCUCUAAAUACUGCUUCAGCAGUGCACGGUCCUCCAUAUACCUCCUCAGCUCUGCGGACAUUCCAGACGACCGAAUUGGAUCCAUCUCUCGUGCUAACCAACCCCGCAAAGCCUCAAUUCUAUCAUCAAAUGACUUCAUUGUAUUUGCAACAAUUAAAGUCUCAUCCAGAUCAAAAACAAUUGAUAGACACCUCAUAUUCAACAUCUGCAAACAAGCACUAUACAGACCAACGGGCACUGAAUAGCACCAAAAACAGGGGAACUUUUUCUGCUUACUCGCCAUUGCUACCAAAUGUAUU
rnacentral:misc_RNA from 1 species